AGACAGCAGUACGUGUUCCCCGCACACAGGACACCGACCACCGGCUCCUGAAUCACUGGAACUGGAUUGUUUGAGAACCGUAGACAGCACCGUACUUUCUCUCUACUCCAACCCGGGCAAGGCGCGCCGUCCUGGGCCUGAACUGCGCACGGAUCCAGCCUCUUCCUCCAGUUCUAUGCUGCAGUGUCACACCGCGUCUCUGAUCCGUUUGCUCGGUCUGCAUAGCCUACAUGUGUGUUCGUGUGCGUGUUUGAGGACACUUUUGCAGAGCUGUUAAUACUGGAUUUUCUCUGGAGGUUUCCGUCUGAGUCGUCACAGUUUCCCCAACGCUGGUUUUUACAUCUGCCAAUCUGAUGAAAAGAUGCUGCGGGGACACAACGAGAAACUGAGCCCUACCUGAAACCACCUCUCCCC